GCUUAAUAUAGUAAAAAUGGGCAGAUUGACUGAAUGUAAAGUUCGUCAGGCUGUUUAAUAUCAAUGUAUGAUGUUAAUUACAUUAGUGCCUGAUUUAUGUAUCAUUUACGUAGCUGCUGUGGGAAAUUCGGUCGCCUGCAUGUCAAAGCAAUUAUUAUAUAGACACUGAUCAUGAUACAUUUCAAAGGUUCUUGUUAAGGUCAUUUUAUCGUGUAUCCUAUUAGAGGAACACAGUGUUCUCUCGGGCCAUUACCUGAGAUAAUUUUGUACAUUCGGGAGAUCAGUGAUAUUGCGAGGUUGAGGUGGAUUCUAAGGUAGUAACUAAGCAAUAAUACAUCAUAAUGGCGAGGUACAGGACGGAGUUGACGAUCCCCAUACACAAGACAGACCUCACGUUUGCCGAACGCCAAAAGAACCUUUGGGGCGAUAUGGAAGCAGAAAUGGAGCGCAGACGACAGGAGUGGGAGGGGGAAAUCGAUCGUAUGCGUCAAAGUUUCUUCAAAUUGAAACCAUACGAGGCUAUGCGAGGCAGUAAGGAGAACCUUAUUGAUCUAACUGAAAAGAAAAAUCAGCAAUCCGUCUUUGUUGAUGAUAAAGAAGGGAAUCCACAAUUCAAGGUCAGAUUUGAUGUGGCUGGUUUUAAACCUGAAGAAAUAAACGUCCGUACACAAGAUAAGAAACUAAUGGUUACGGCCAAGCAUGAAGAGACCGUUGAAGGCAGCCAAACGAUCAAACAAUUUUCCAGACAGGUUGAUAUCCCAUCUAACGUAGAGGCAACCGAUUUAAGUUCAGUAUUGACUAAUGAUGGGGUCCUAAUCAUCCAAGCACCACUCCCUGCUCCUGGUUACGCUAAACUCCAAAUCUCGACUCCAACUAAGCGUCUUCCAACUGGGGGCCCGGUCUACGUUGACGCAGAUGGCAUAAGGAAACUGCGUAUCGUUGUGGACGUUGGUAAAGAUUUUAAUCCAGAAGACGUCACUGUUAAAACUGUUGACACGAAGCUUCUCGUCAGCGCAUCCAAAGAGGAGAAAUCCGCUAAUAGAACCAUGCAAAGGACAUUUAACAAGGAGUAUGAUAUGCCAGAGAGCGUCGAUCCAUUCACAAUUAAUGCGUUCUUGGAUGAUGACGGCAAGCUAACAGUUGAGGCUCCGCUGACGACAUACGCUACUCCUUCUCCUUCGCCCACUACCCCCACCCAGAAAAUCAACAUCUCUGUGAGGAAGUUUCCCUUGUCCCCAUAAGACGCAGUGGAUCAAUGGUGUCAAAAAUCAAAUUGUAUAUCACUUCAGUUUUUAAAUAAUUAAUUAGAGAUCAAUCAGACAUAAUUUGAGAAGGUGUGUGUUUCACAUUCAAAAAGGCAUAUAAAGACAUUGGUCAUUUGAAAUUUCAAUUUGGGAUUCA
rnacentral:misc_RNA from 1 species